GCGCCGGUAGCUCAGUUGGAUAGAGCGUCUGCCUCCGGAGCAGAAGGUCGUGGGUUCGAAUCCCGCCCGGCGCA
rnacentral:tRNA from 2 species